rnacentral:miRNA from 14 species
GUGUGUGUGUGUGUGUGUGUGUUAUAUGUGUGUGUGUGUGUGUGUGUGUUAUAUGUGUGUGUNACACACACACACACACACACACACACACACACACACACGCAG